AGACCCGAAACCCGGUGAUCUAGCCAUGGGCAGGUUGAAGGUUGGGUAACACUAACUGGAGGACCGAACCGACUAAUGUUGAAAAAUUAGCGGAUGACCUGUGGCUGGGGGUGAAAGGCCAAUCAAACCGGGAGAUAGCUGGUUCUCCCCGAAAGCUAUUUAGGUAGCGCCUCGUGAAUUCAUCUCCGGGGGUAGAGCACUGUUUCGGCUAGGGGGCCAUCCCGGCUUACCAACCCGAUGCAAACUGCGAAUACCGGAGAAUGUUAUCACGGGAGACACACGGCGGGUGCUAACGUCCGUCGUGAAGAGGGAAACAACCCAGACCGCCAGCUAAGGUCCCAAAGUCAUGGUUAAGUGGGAAACGAUGUGGGAAGGCCCAGACAGCCAGGAUGUUGGCUUAGAAGCAGCCAUCAUUUAAAGAAAGCGUAAUAGCUCACUGGUCGAGUCGGCCUGCGCGGAAGAUGUAACGGGGCUAAACCAUGCACCGAAGCUGCGGCAGCGACACUGUGUGUUGUUGGGUAGGGGAGCGUUCUGUAAGCCUGCGAAGGUGGCCUGUGAGGGUUGCUGGAGGUAUCAGAAGUGCGAAUGCUGACAUAAGUAACGAUAAAGCGGGUGAAAAGCCCGCUCGCCGGAAGACCAAGGGUUCCUGUCCAACGUUAAUCGGGGCAGGGUGAGUCGACCCCUAAGGCGAGGCCGAAAGGCGUAGUCGAUGGGAAACGGGUUAAUAUUCCCGUACUUGGUGUUACUGCGAAGGGGGGACGGAGAAGGCUAUGUUGGCCGGGCGACGGUUGUCCCGGUUUAAGCGUGUAGGCUGGUUUUCCAGGCAAAUCCGGAAAAUCAAGGCUGAGGCGUGACGACGAGGCACUACGGUGCUGAAGCAACAAAUGCCCUGCUUCCAGGAAAAGCCUCUAAGCAUCAGGUAACAUCAAAUCGUACCCCAAACCGACACAGGUGGUCAGGUAGAGAAUACCAAGGCGCUUGAGAGAACUCGGGUGAAGGAACUAGGCAAAAUGGUGCCGUAACUUCGGGAGAAGGCACGCUGACAUGUAGGUGAAGUGAUUUACUCAUGGAGCUGAAGUCAGUCGAAGAUACCAGCUGGCUGCAACUGUUUAUUAAAAACACAGCACUGUGCAAACACGAAAGUGGACGUAUACGGUGUGACGCCUGCCCGGUGCCGGAAGGUUAAUUGAUGGGGUCAGCGCAAGCGAAGCUCCUGAUCGAAGCCCCGGUAAACGGCGGCCGUAACUAUAACGGUCCUAAGGUAGCGAAAUUCCUUGUCGGGUAAGUUCCGACCUGCACGAAUGGCGUAAUGAUGGCCAGGCUGUCUCCACCCGAGACUCAGUGAAAUUGAACUCGCUGUGAAGAUGCAGUGUACCCGCGGCAAGACGGAAAGACCCCGUGAACCUUUACUAUAGCUUGACACUGAACAUUGAGCCUUGAUGUGUAGGAUAGGUGGGAGGCUUUGAAGCGUGGACGCCAGUCUGCGUGGAGCCGACCUUGAAAUACCACCCUUUAAUGUUUGAUGUUCUAACGUGGACCCGUGAUCCGGGUUGCGGACAGUGUCUGGUGGGUAGUUUGACUGGGGCGGUCUCCUCCUAAAGAGUAACGGAGGAGCACGAAGGUUGGCUAAUCCUGGUCGGACAUCAGGAGGUUAGUGCAAUGGCAUAAGCCAGCUUGACUGCGAGCGUGACGGCGCGAGCAGGUGCGAAAGCAGGUCAUAGUGAUCCGGUGGUUCUGAAUGGAAGGGCCAUCGCUCAACGGAUAAAAGGUACUCCGGGGAUAACAGGCUGAUACCGCCCAAGAGUUCAUAUCGACGGCGGUGUUUGGCACCUCGAUGUCGGCUCAUCACAUCCUGGGGCUGAAGUAGGUCCCAAGGGUAUGGCUGUUCGCCAUUUAAAGUGGUACGCGAGCUGGGUUUAGAACGUCGUGAGACAGUUCGGUCCCUAUCUGCCGUGGGCGCUGGAGAACUGAGGGGGGCUGCUCCUAGUACGAGAGGACCGGAGUGGACGCAUCACUGGUGUUCGGGUUGUCAUGCCAAUGGCACUGCCCGGUAGCUAAAUGCGGAAGAGAUAAGUGCUGAAAGCAUCUAAGCACGAAACUUGCCCCGA
rnacentral:rRNA from 1 species